UCUUCUUCUAGCUUCUCAAAGCUUUCAUGGUGUAGCCAAAGUCCGUAUGAUUCUUUGGCUUUGUAUCUUCUAACAAGGAAACACUUCUUAGGCUUAUAAGAUCGGGUUGCGGUUUAAGUUCUUAUACUCAAUCAUACACAUGACAACAAGUCAUAAUCGACUGCAAAACACUAACCAACCUUCUUCUUGCGUCUCAAAGCUUUCAUAGUGUAGCCAAAGUCCGUAUGAUUCUUUGGCUUUGUAUCUUCUAACAAGGAAACAUUACUUAGGCUUAUAAGAUCGGGUUGCGGUUUAAGUUCUUAUACACAAUCAUACACAUGACAUCAAGUCGUAUUCGACUCCAAAACACUAACCAACCUUCUUCUUGCGUCUCAAAGAUUUCAUGGUGUAGCCAAAGUCUGUAUGAGUCUUUGGCUUUGUGUCUUCUAACAAGGCUACAAUUCUUACGCCUUUAAGAUCGAGUUGCGGUUUAAGUUCUUAUACUCAAUCAUACACUUGACAUCAAGUCAUAUUCGACUCCAAAACACUAACCAAGCUUCUUCUAGCUUCUCAAAGCUUUCAUGGUGUAGCCAAAGUCCGUAUGAGUCUUUGGCUUUGUAUCUUCUAACAAGGAAACAUUAUUUAGGCUUUUAAGAUCAGGUUGCGGUUUUAGUUCUUAUACUCAAUCAUACACAUGACAUCAAGUCAUAUUCGACUCCAAAACAGUAACCAACCUUCUUCUUGCUUCUCAAAGCUUUCAUGGUGUAGCCAAAGUCUGUAUGAUUCUUUGGCUUUGUGUCUUCUAACAAGGAUCAAUUCUUACGCCUUUAAGAUCCAGUUGCGGUUUAAGUUCUUAUACUCAAUCAUACACAUGACAUCAAGUCAUAUUCGACUCCAAAACACUAACCAAGCGUCUUCUAGCUUCUCAAAGCUUUCAUAGUGUAGCCAAAGUCCGUAUGAUUCUUUGGCUUUGUAUCUUCUAACAAGGAAACAUUACUUAGGCUUAUAAGAUCGGGUUGCGGUUUAAGUUCUUAUACACAAUCAUACACAUGACAUCAAGUCAUAUUCGACUCCAAAACACUAACCAACCUUCUUCUUGCGUCUCAAAGAUUUCAUGGUGUAGCCAAAGUCUGUAUGAGUCUUUGGCUUUGUGUCUUCUAACAAGGAUACAAUUCUUACGCCUUUAAGAUCCAGUUGCGUAUUAAGUUCUUAUACUCAAUCAUACACAUGACAUCAAGUCAUAUUCGACUCCAAAACACUAACCAAGCUUCUCAAAGCUUUCAUGGUGUAGCCAAAGUCCGUAUGAGUCUUUGGCUUUGUAUCUUGUAACA
rnacentral:sRNA from 1 species